CCUACGGGUGGCAGCAGUGAGGAAUAUUGGUCAAUGGCCGAAAGGCUGAACCAGCCAAGCCGCGUGAGGGACGAAUGUCCCAUGGAUUGUAAACCUCUUUUGUCAGGGAGCAAAAUCACCCACGUGUGGGUGUUGGAGGGUACCUGAAGAAAAAGCAUCGGCUAACUCCGUGCCAGCAGCCGCGGUAAUACGGAGGAUGCGAGCGUUAUCCGGAUUUAUUGGGUUUAAAGGGUGCGUAGGCGGGUUAUUAAGUCAGCGGUAAAAGCGUGGAGCUCAACUCCAGCCAGCCGUUGAAACUGGCGAUCUUGAGUGGUCGAGAGGUAUGCGGAAUGCGUGGUGUAGCGGUGAAAUGCAUAGAUAUUGCGCAGAACUCCGAUUGCGAAGGCAGCAUACCGGCGCGGAACUGACGCUCAUGCACGAAAGCGUGGGUAUCGAACAGGAUUAGAUACCCUUGUAGUC
rnacentral:rRNA from 1 species